CGACGGUUUCCCAUAUUUCAAUCGUGGUUUUCUUAUUUUUAUAAUGAUCAAAAUCCCUUAUUUCUUAUUUUUUGUAGUUACAUUAAUAUAAAAGUACAAUGAUAAUGCCCAAACAUUAAAAGAAAAACAAAUUUAUUAAGUUUUAUUAUGAUAUUACAUGAAUACAAUUAUUAAGCACAAAUUUGGUUAAAAUAUUGAAUGGAUCGGUCUAUGUUUGUAGGGCAAGUAAGUAUUGCCCUGGCUUCUUCAACAAAUGCAUGUUGAUCUUUUGAACUGAGUUUUCCAUAUUGCGUACAACAAACAGAUUUAAAUGGAGGAAGAUCUGGCUCGCACCAUAUAAAUAUAUCUAGCCUCUUGCCGGCGACAUGCACAGAAAUAAGAGAUCCGAGUUUGGGAAAUUGGUUAGGCAGCUUCUUUAAUUUGAUCAUGCGAAGGAGCUGAGGUUUUUCACAUUUGGAGGAAGACAAGAGAGGCGGAUCAGUGGCACUACAAUUACUAUAAUUGGCAGCCAAUAAUAGAUCAUGGACACUUUUCAAUCAUCAAGUCCCCACAACAAGAUUAAUUACCACCCAAUUAAACUCUCCCUUUUAAAUUCUAUAUUUAAAGUUGAUCCAAAAUUCAGAUUUUUUUUUUUCUCUCUCUUUUUUUUUGAGUUUUUGAUGGGAACUUGAUCGCUAUUUUAAUAUAGCAAUAAAAACUGCAACUAUAACAGUGUAAUUGUAACACCAAACAGCAAGUAGAGUAUCGUAUCCACGAGGACUGAUAAAUAAAAUCACUGUAAGUAAUUCUAAUAAGGACUAACAAUAUUCACGCAAAACACCAAAAUGAGUGAAUUAAUUAAAACUAAUACUAAAACAAAGCAAAUAAAAAUCAAGUAAAAAAUCAGAUAAUAAAACAACUGAUCCUAGGGAUGUAGAUUUAUUAAUCAAAUUCACAUAAUAAACCUAUAUAUUAAUCCUAAGUACCAGUUUAAUCCACUCUUGAUGAGCGAUCGCAUAGAUAAAAUCAAACGCUCUCGGUAGAGCAGCAUAUGACAUUACAUUAGUAAAUUCUCUGUCUCCGUUAGGUUUCAAGAAAAUCUAUUAACUCCCAAAAGCAAAUAAGAAUAGCUCCCUAUGAUCCACCUAUAUAUCUCCGUUAGGUCUCAAGAUUAAAAUCAUAUCAUAUAUUCCUGAAGGAAGAAGCUCAAGUGCACAAGAGAAUUCAUUUGAUGAAUUUGAGUUAAUGCGAAGCUCAAGAGGAGUAUGCAAUUCAUGCAUGCAGCCCAACUUCAUGUUAUCGAAAUGACACUAAUAUUAAAUGACACUAUCAUGUUAUCGAAAUGACACUGUACACCCGAGUGCACUGUGUACCCGGGUGCACAGGAGAAUUUGUGAAUAUUUAAUGCAGUACUAUGUUUUUUUUAAAAAGGAAAAAGUUUUGUUGGAAGAGUUCGAUGGAACUUUUAUUAAUUACUCAAAUAGUUAAACUACAUACUUAUUAGUAUUGAGAAACUUUAUUAAUUACUCAAAUAGUUAAACUACAUCAUUUUGCUUCUACAUAUGGCAUGUGAUCACUGAAACCUAAGAUAAUCUAUAUUGU